UGAUACAGCAAACCCCCUGGAACACACGUGUGACCUCACACCUCUGUUUCUGCAGGGAUAUUCGAGCAUUCACAUUUCUAUGCAGAUCGAAGCAGGCAUCAGUCUGACACUUAAGGAAGCUCACUAGAUACUCCAUCUCAGAGGUAACCCACCUCAUCAUCACGUUACCUUGCACAGAUGACUUCCUAGGUUCCAUUCUCCUGGCAGUAGCUGCUGAGAUGUUAGGAGUUUCCAUCUGAAGUUUGGUAGAUUUCAAUCCAUCACCGGGGUCUACAGCGUCUCCAGUUCUCUCAGGUCCUGUUCUUCGCCUACUUGGUUCCAAGGCAUCGAGGUGCCAUUCUCUGAUCCAAACGUGAGAUGGCCCUUCUAAUACCAGAGAGAGGGAAGUCUCUUUGCUCUCCCCAGUGAGUGAUUUGGUGAAAGACAAAAUGAUUUUCCCUAGUCUGGAGCCCUCUUUGAGACUCAUCUGGGAGCUCUGGAGUUCUUGCUAAAGACCAUGUACACUUCAAUGGAGCAUCCUAUCCAUGAGACUCUGAGUGUGUGGCAUGCUGAAGAAGGGGAGGUUUAUUAGGUAAAAUGAAGCUGGAUAUUGUAAUAUGAAGUUGGAUAUCAUGAAAAAAUUCUUCUCCAAAAGAGUGGCGAUGUAUUGGAACAGACUGUCCAUGGAAGUGGUGGAGUCACCGUGUUCAAGGUGUCCAAGAGCCCUGGAGAUGUGGCACUGAGGGCCAUGACAAUAAGAACAAAUGACAGGAGGAACCACAUUCAGCCCGGAUACGCGUAUGGCUCUGAGUCUGUUUCCACCAGUUUAUCCCUCAGGAAUUGAAACGUGCAGAGGAGGCCACCUGGUAAAAGCCGAAAUGCUCCCCGGAGGACUUCUUCUGCCUGACCAAGUUUCUUCUUUUUUAUUUACUUUUUUGCCUUGUUUUUGUCAUUAAAUGUACAGUCUCACUGCACACUUGCUCCCCCGUAGCCGAUCCUUUCCUCCAGAGCCACAUUACCCUGCUGUUAGAGAAUCCGUCCCAGUGCUUUGUUUGUGUUCCUCCUUUCUCAGGCUCUAAAGCAGGAGAGGUGCUAGGGGGAGAUUUCCCAUCAAAAUACCCUCUGUCAAAUGCACUUCACAUGUAACUUCGCUGACACAAAUCAGGGCUGGAGGAAUGUCAUUGAAGUCAAUCCUUUUGUUUGGCAGGGGAAAUCCAAUAAGUUCUCUGGCAGCUGUUUGUUUGAAAUACCAGCCACUCUCUCCGCCCCAUUCAAGGCCAAUAUCAAUUUCUUCAUUUCACACCUUCUGUUUCUUCCAUAUAAUAGAAUCAUAGAAUGGCUUGGGUUGGAAGGGACCUCAUAUAUGGGAGGAAAACAAUAGUGAACAAAGAAAUAAACAAA
ensembl:lncRNA